GUUUGAUCCUGGCUCAGGACGAACGCUGGCGGCGUGCCUAAUACAUGCAGGUCGAGCGGACUUGAUGGAGUGCUUGCACUCCUGAUGGUUAGCGGCGGACGGGUGAGUAACACGUAGGUAACCUGCCCGACAGACUGGGAUAACAUUCGGAAACGAAUGCUAAUACCGGAUACGCGAAUUGGUCGCAUGGCCGAAUCGGGAAAGAUGGAGCAAUCUGUCACUGUUGGAUGGACCUGCGGCGCAUUAGCUAGUUGGUGAGGUAACGGCUCACCAAGGCGACGAUGCGUAGCCGACCUGAGAGGGUGAUCGGCCACACUGGGACUGAGACACGGCCCAGACUCCUACGGGAGGCAGCAGUAGGGAAUCUUCCGCAAUGGGCGAAAGCCUGACGGAGCAACGCCGCGUGAGUGAUGAAGGUUUUCGGAUCGUAAAGCUCUGUUGCCAGGGAAGAACGGUUGGGAGAGUAACUGCCCCUGAUAUGACGGUACCUGAGAAGAAAGCCCCGGCUAACUACGUGCCAGCAGCCGCGGUAAUACGUAGGGGGCAAGCGUUGUCCGGAAUUAUUGGGCGUAAAGCGCGCGCAGGCGGUUCAUUAAGUUUGGUGUUUAAGGCUGGGGCUCAACCCUGGUUCGCACUGAAAACUGGUGGACUUGAGUGCAGAAGAGGAAAGUGGAAUUCCACGUGUAGCGGUGAAAUGCGUAGAGAUGUGGAGGAACACCAGUGGCGAAGGCGACUUUCUGGGCUGUAACUGACGCUGAGGCGCGAAAGCGUGGGAGCAAACAGGAUUAGAUACCCUGGUAGUCCACGCCGUAACGAUGAUGCUAGUGUUAGGGUUUCGAUACUCUUGUGCUGAAGUUACACAUUAAGCAUUCGCUGAGAGUACGUCGCAGACUGAAACUCAAGGAUGACGGGACCCGCACAGCAGUGAGUAUGUGUUUAGUCGAGCAACGCGAGAACUUACCAGGUCUGACAUCCUUUGACGGUACAGAGAAGUACCUUCCUUCGACAAAGAACGUGGUGGCAUGUGUCCUCAGCUUCUGUCUGAAAGUUGGUUAUUCCGCACGAGGCACCUUGGAUCUUGUGGCCGCCAAUC
rnacentral:rRNA from 1 species